rnacentral:misc_RNA from 1 species
ACAAACUUGGUCAUUUAGAGGAAGUAAAAGUCGUAACAAGGUCUCCGUAGGUGAACCUGCGGAGGGAUCAUUACCGAGCGAAGGGCCUCUGUGCCCGACCGCCCACCCCUUGUCGUCCCCUCGCACCCGUGCCUCGGGGGCUACCCGCGCGCCCUUCCGGGCGACGCGGGGCCCCCGGUGGACCCGAAACACCGCGCUCCGUGCCGUCAUAGUCGAGUGAGCGAAUCGCACACAAAACUUUCAACAAUGGAUCUCUUGGUUCUGGCAUCGAUGAAGAACGCAGC